rnacentral:rRNA from 1 species
UACGUAGGGUGCAAGCGUUAAUCGGAAUUACUGGGCGUAAAGCGUGCGCAGGCGGUGAUGUAAGACAGGUGUGAAAUCCCCGGGCUUAACCUGGGAACUGCAUUUGUGACUGCAUCGCUGUAGUGCGGCAGAGGGGGAUGGAAUUCCGCGUGUAGCAGUGAAAUGCGUAGAUAUGCGGAGGAACACCGAUGGCGAAGGCAACCCCCUGGGCCUGCACUGACGCUCAUGCACGAAAGCGUGGGGAGCAAACAGG